rnacentral:misc_RNA from 1 species
AUCUAUUGUAGAUCCGGGCUUAGCGAUUGCGGAGGAUUCUUCUUACUCCUCUCUCUUCCCCCUCCUUCCCGUCGCGCGCGCCUUAUGUAGAUUAUGUGGAAAUGUGUGGAAAUUGGAAAUAUUGGAAUUGGAAUCGCGCUUCGCGUAGAAAGUUCUGGAAAGUUGUAGUUGUAAACCCAUGAACGAUGAAUGAUCUGAAUAUUAAUAAACAAACAUUAAUAUAUCGCUGUAGAAGCAAGUUUGUAAAAACCUUUACACAUGUAGUCAUAGAGCAUGAAAAUGUGAUCGCAGCGCAUGCUUGCAUCGCAGUAUUUUGCGGUUGUGAUUUCCUAACCUCAAUAGUCAUCAACUUUAACGAUUAAUAUCUCGAUUCGCAGGCCAGAGACUUUUUUCGAUCAGAUUCGUUCGUUUCACGAAAAAAACGUCGAUUGAUAUAUUUUUUGUCAAUUUUUGUGAUUGUGUAUGCUAAACUAAAUAAUUAUCAACAGUAAUAUAUUAUAGGUAAACAAAAGUAAAAAAUGCACAGUGAAAGUGAAGAAGGAGAAAUUGUAUCAGACUUUGAAGAAGAUUUUACAGAAGAGUUACAUAGUUUGCCUCAUGUUAUAACGUUCAUAUGUAAAUUGCGUGAUCAUAUUAAAAAACAACGGAAGAAAAUUGAUAAAUUACGAAGGAAACUGAAGGAACAGAAACAACAAAAUUUGCUCUAUACAAAAGCAUAUAUACACUGUGGGACUCAGACGAAUCCUUUAGAUUUUAAUAAAUCUUUAUCGCAAGAUUGGGAUGUUAGUCAUAAUGUUAAGUCAUCCAAUAUAGUAGAUCAAGUGAAGGAAGUAGCAGAAUCGGCUUUAUUGCAAACUGGUUUUGUUUACGAACAGACAUCAGGAAUGUAUUAUGAUUAUAAUACUGGAUAUUAUUAUGAUACAAAGCAAGGUUUAUAUUACGAUGGAAAUACUGGAAUAUAUUAUUAUUAUGAUGAAACUAGUAAUACGUAUCAAUUCCAUAGUCAAGUCUAUACAGGCAAGACAACUUUCCAAAGGAAGGAAGAAAUUGGAAUAACACAUAAGGAUGACGUGAAAAAACGAAAACUUAAAAGUGAAGAAGAAAAUUCGGGGGAUAAAGUACUUGAAGAGGGCGAAUGUUCAGGAAGUGAAAGUGAUGGCAUUUCUGAUGAAAUAAUCCCUGAUGUAUCUACUAAUAGCGAAAGUGAUGAUGAAGAACAAGAUUUAGCAAAAAAUUAUCCACCAUGUAUGAGAAUUAUUGUUAAGGAAACAGAUUUAAUAAAAUUAAAACUAGGCUCCCUUUUCCUCGUAACAUGUAUAGGAGGUACAUUAGGGCGAGAAGGAGAUCAUUCAGUGCUGAUACCGGAUAUAAAUAUUAGCAAGUAUCAUGCACGUUUUGUGUAUGACGAAAUCAAGAAGCAGUAUCAAGUAAUAGAUUCUGGUUCAAGAAAUGGUACAUUUAUAAAUGGCAAAAGAUUGUCAGUAGCUAAGCAAGAAUCUGAACCUCAUGAAAUAAUCCAUGGGUCAAUCAUAAAAAUUGGCGGGACGAAAUUAUUAUGCCAUAUUCAUAAUGGAAAUGAAACGUGCGGUUAUUGUGAACCAGGUCUUGUUCAACAAAACAUCAAUCUCAAUGAAAUUAAAGCUUCGAAGACAAAACUUUAUAAGGAAGAAUUGCGACGUCUGAAACAUAAAUUCGGAAUUGAUAAGGACAAUAUGUCUAGUAGUCAAUUAGCUACAGGUUAUCAAGACAGAGCGCAAGCUAGGCGACAGCAUGUAGGUUCUUCAGAUCCUCAUGCUAAGACGCAACAAAGUUCCAUUCACACAUCAAUAACAAAAGAUAACAAAGGAUUCAAAUUGCUUUCGAAAAUGGGUUGGUCCGAAGGUCGCUCCUUGGGCAAAGAUGGAGAUGGAAGGACAGAACCUUCAAGUCGAACCACGUACGUAUCGUAUCAGAGACAUUGGUUGCCCUAUCACUACCAGACAGCUUCCGUCUGGGUAAACAUACCGAUAUACAUCGAACAGUCUGGCCGGUAGGGCUUACUGACCAUCUAGAGGCAUCCAUCACAGGAUUAUCGCAGGAGGUUCGCUCGCGCGGGCAGUUGGAACGUGUGGUGCCUACAGACCACUACACAGACACAGGCACGCGUGGGCGAUCGCUACUUAUUACCUGCAAUCACAACAAAGUUGGUCUUGGAUCGAAGAGAACGGACGUUCCUAAUGUCGAGUUAGAUUC